rnacentral:rRNA from 1 species
AGUGGCGAACGGCUGAGUAACACGUGGAGAACCUCGCCCCCUCCCCCCGGGACUAGCCGCCCGAAAGGACGGGUAAUACCGGACUACCCCCGGGCGCCGCAUGGCGCCCGGGCUAAAGCCCCGACGGGAGGGGAUGGCUCCGCGGCCCAUCAGGUAGACGGCGGGGUGACGGCCCACCGUGCCGACAACGGGUAGCCGGGUUGAGAGACCGACCGGCCAGAUUGGGACUGAGACACGGCCCAGACUCCUACGGGAGGCAGCAUG